UAUUAUCAUACUAGAUUAUCAUGGCUGUCUUUCUAUCCUGUCUUGGUUUCACGGUUUAUCCUAUGCCGGCAGCAUAGAGCCUAACUAAAUAAUAAUGCAUGCCGUCAGCGCUACAAUAGCAAAAACAUAAUAUAGAACUUGACAGGUAGCGAACACCGAUGCUUGCGCUGGCAGUGGCGCGGGCUUUCUUUGUUGAGUAAUGUCACGUUACUAUAGUGACCAUAAUUGUAAAAUCGUAGAAGACACAAAAACGACAGUCAAUUAUUUAAUUGCACCGUUCCUGCGGUAAAAUGCCCCGAAGCAACCAACAUUGUUACAGGUACCAUUUAUUGGUAUUAGCUGACACAGGUUCGGACCUUAGGAGCUAAAAUGCUUUAACAGCGAUAUAGCAGCAAUCGUCAAAUACCUCAGUUCCGUCUAGCAUUCAGAGAAAACAACAACGAUAAAAACAACAAAAUAAUCCUAUUAAAUUAGAGACAACGAUUUUAUAAUUUCCACUUGUAGACCGCCGGCCGUGUUGUAAUAAGGAUUUACGACAGAAAAAAAAAUGGGAACAGUGACAUUGUAACCAUCGGCCGGAAGUACCACCUACAAAUAGUUUGGUUACGGAAAAGCUGCCAAAACUAGAUUUGUUUUAGUGAGAUCCGGUAAUCUACAGGCGAAGAUGAGCUAUCUACAAGCGGAUCAAAAAUCAAUGAUACUUUAGGUGUCACCCGCAGUUCGAUGCAGCAUUUUCAAUCGAUUCAGGACCCUGUAGUAUCGGUCGAGAUCUAGGUAAAGAUCAUCGUGAGAUGUAUUGAGUCGGGUGCUAUCACCUGGGUGUGAAGCGUCGAUUUUUCAGGAAACCACCAUACUAAAUUAAAAAGAGUCGGAAUGCUGAAAUUGAUUGGCGAGGCAGUAACGACAAGAUCAUAAGACACUACGGGUGUACAGUUCUACUCGCACAAACAGUCUUCAGACUUGGAUUGCGAUUGCCUGGAUGUGUCCAUCGAAUCACGAUUCGAAAUAUGUUUCGUUUCGUUUUGUCUUGUUGGGUUGCAACACAUUGAAGAUAAUGCCUGUCUGAUUCAACUUGGCCCCGGCCGGCGAUACGAAAAGGGUUUUUUGCUUCUACUUCAGAUAUAAUUAACUAGCGUCUCCUAAAUCAAGCAUGACAAAGACUAGAUAAACGAUCAGCGUUCUGCUAUUAAAAAA